UACAGAGGUCCCAAGCGUUGUUCGGAUUCACUGGGCGUAAAGGGUGCGUAGGUGGUUAGGUAAGUCUGAUGUGAAAUCUCCGGGCUCAACCCGGAAAUGGCAUUGGAAACUAUUUGACUAGAGGAGUGGAGGGGGGACUGGAAUACUUGGUGUAGCAGUGAAAUGCGUAGAUAUCAAGUGGAACACCAGUGGCGAAGGCGAGUCCCUGGACACUUCCUGACACUGAGGCACGAAAGCUAGGGGAGCAAACAGG
rnacentral:rRNA from 1 species